CUUGGGGACCCUGCCUCCAGUCACAUGGGAGGACACCAUUUUUGGCCUCCGGCCAUACUAAGACAUGUGCAAUGUGGUCCUUGGACCCUCCUUUAUCUGAUGGCCCAUGCAGGCAAAGUUCACCAUCCAGUGCCUGUCCCCCUCCAGUCUGCCACUGCCCAUGCUGUCUGUGGGGUGCCCAAUCUCUCCAACCAGAUUGGAAGCUCCUCAGGGGCAAGCAAGCAGCUUAUCUCUUCCAUACUCUCACAGUGCUCAGGCAGGAUCGGCACUAGAGAGCAUCUCUUGCAAAACUCUGGGUCAGCAAAACCCUGUAGUCAGCAUCUGCUCACCUGCUCUGCCUACUGCCCACAUGGCUUCUCUGAGUCCUUCCCUGGGGGACAAGCCAAGGGUGCAGGGGAGCAGGAUUAGAGGCAAGGAGGGCACAGAGUUGCAACUGGCUCUGCCCCUGCAUUAAAGCCUUGGGCAGAAUGGGCCACAACCAACCAGCAGCCAGGCCAAAGGCUUCAGAACAAGGGCCUCUGUGUCCCACAACGUGUAGCACAGCCCAUCAGUGUUCCUCAGCAGGACUGCUGGAGAUGGAAGGCUGAGUCAUUAAUUACUUUCUUUUAUUAAAAAUGUACACAAGUAAAAGGAACAUGGUUUAAUUGUACAGAGUAAGAAAUACAGAUGAGUAAAUAAAAUCAUUAAUUAAAGCCACCUGCAGUAUACCACCCAGAAGUAAUCAGGCUGUUAAAUUUUUAGACACUUGAGUGCAAACACAAUUUCUCACUCCCUGGUGCAUAUGUAGGAGCUCUGUCCCAUGCAGACCCAGGCAUGGUCUCAAGUGAUGCUCUUGCUGGGAAUGCUGCAAGCAGCAGUCUGUGCUUCCCCAGCACUGGCCUGGGGCCCUUCCUCAGCCCCCAGGUCUCUCUGCACACAGAUAACGUGCAGAGAUUGGCAUCCAAGAGCCAAGAGUCCAAAGGGCCAGCUGUCCAGGCCGCAAAGGUAAUCUAGAAUACAUUAGGAGGUGCAAAGGGCCUUGGCGGUUGGGUGACAGACUGUCCCAGUUUGCUCAGGACUGAAGAGUUUCCAGGGAUGUGGGUAGUGCCAAAACUGAGAAAGGCCUGGUCAAACUGGGGUGAAUUGGUCACCCUACUUAGAGGGACAAAGGCUUUGUCCAGCCCCUCCCUACACUGCCCACAGGCCCUCCUGCUGGGCCAUAGAUCCCCCAGGUCCUCAUUAAGCAGCCCAGGACAAAGCCUCGGCAGGGGCCUCCUGUUCCCUCUGGCCCCACAAAGGUUUCAGCCUGAGGCCCAGGGAAGGAGAGGGGAAAGGGAAUGAGUAAAGGCAGACAGGCAGUUGCCACCUGAGGAAAGGCACCAGGUGAACUCUGGCUGUCAAGGGCAGCCAGGGGUGCAGAGGUGGAGGGGCUCCAACUCUUGGCCUCCUGCCCCUCCAGCCCUGGAGCUACCUUUAGACCUCAGUGUCUGAGUCCUCCUAGCUCUGGCCCCAGUCCUUGGAAAGUGCAGGGUCUCUGUGCAGGCCCCAGGCGCCUCCCACAGCCCUGGUGCAUCCAGCCUUGCAUCUCCCUCUUCCUUGUGUCCAUGCUUCCUGGCACUUGCUGCCCAGCUCUUCUCCACCUAAGACUGAGAGCAGAGGAUGGGAGAAGAGAAGUCCAGGACUGGUUGAGCUGAAUCAGGUAGGUGGGAGGGGACCUGGGCAAAUAGGACCUCUCUGACAGUGGCAGCACAUCCUGACUGUGCUCUGGCCAGGGCUGCUGUCUAUGCCUGAGGAACCCAGAGGAGUAGGCAGAAUAAUGGUCCACAGUGGCCUAAAGAUAUCCACAUCCUAAUGCAUGGAAUCUGUGAAUAUGUUAUGUUACAUGGCAAUGGGGAAUUAAGGUUGCAGAUGCCAUUAAGGUUGCUAAUCAGCUCACUCUAAAAUAGAUUAUCCUGGAUUAUCUAGAUGGGUCCAAUGUAAUCACAAAGGUCCUUAAACAGGGAAGAAGGAGGCAGAAGAGUCAGAACCAGAAGGAUGGCAUUAUAUGAAAGACUUGAGCAGCCAUUGCUGGCUUUGAAGGUGGAGGAAGGGGCCACAACCCAAGGAAUGCAGGUGGCCUCUAAAAGCUGGAAAGGGCAAGGAAACAGAUUUUCUACUAGAGCCCCCAGGAAGGAAUGCAGCUAUGCUGACAUCUUGAGUUUAGUCCAGUAAGGCUCAUUUUGGACUUCUGACCUACAAAACUGUAAGAUAAUAAAUUUAUGUUAUUUUAAGCCACUUAAUUUAUAGUAAUUUGUUACAGUAGCAAUACUGGGAAAUCAUCUGGGGGAUGCAGCUGCCCAAAAUCCCUUGGUUAGAGUCAGUCUCACAGAGUUCCACAGUCCCUCUGUGAAAGACCCUAUUCUGUUCUGGGCCCAUGCCCUGGGCAGGGAAUGGGCCUCCAUAGCUUGGAUGGGUCAAGAAGGAUGCCUGAGGAAUAGUGCCCCUGCUGGUCAUGUCUACAGGAAACAGCUGCCUCCUGAACCCACUCCUCAAAACUCUGAAGCUGCUGGCUCCGAGUUGUCCUGGAGGAGCUGCCCUAAGGUCAGGCCACCCAGCACAUCCAGCCAGAGCCUGCAGUCGUGGUUUAAAAGUCCCACAGCGGGGUUCUGUGUCCUUUCCACAUACCUAUAAUAUUCACAGCACUCUCAGUCCUUCAUCUCACUAAGUGGAUGCAGUUUGGCUCAGGAAAAGCUAGGACUAGAGGGAAAAAAGUUUAGAGACAAAAAUCUCUAAAGUGGAUGUCAGCCAGAUACGCAUACAAUCCCUGCUCUGCUACUUACUAGCUUUGUGGCCUCAAAUUAGCCACUAGAUUUCUUGUAGCCUUUGUUUCUGUAUCUGAACAAUGGGUGUAACAGCUCUUGUCUUAUCUGCCUCACAGCGUGAGUCUCAGUUGAGAUAACACAUGAGAAAACACUGUGCUGCACAGACUGAGAUGCCCUUGUUAUUAAUAAACAAUAACGACCACAACCCCAUCUGCCUUUGGAUGGAGUGGAUGAUCACACAUCCUGUGCUGAGGAAGGAAGGGUGAGUGCAGACUCAGCAACUCGGUCUUGCCCACAGGCAGGACGCUGCAGCCUGGCCAGGAGAGGCGAGAAAGGCUUGUCUUUCUCUGAGCCACAGCCUUGGAGCUCACACCGGACGGACGGACCGGCAGCCCUCAGGAUGUCCUCCCAACCACCACAGACUGGGCUUUGUGCUUUUUUUUUUCCUAAGGAAAAAGUUUUCUAGAGUUUCUUUUGCAUUAAAAACAGUCCCUCCUUCUCACAAAACACUUACAAUUUCACACAAAAAAGGUGGAACAUGGAACUAUACACAAUACAAUUCCAAUCUAAUGAAUAUAUAAUAUAUGAUUUUGUUUUUCCUUUUUCUCCCCAAAGCCCCCUAGUACAUAGUUGUGUAUUUUUAGUUGUGGAUCCUUCUAGUUGUGGCAUGCAGGAUGCCGCCUCAGCGUGGCCUGAUGAGCGGUGUCAUGUCCACACCCAGGAUCCGAACCAGUGAAACCCUGGGCCGCCGAAGCAGGGCACGCAAACUUAACCACUCGGCCAUGGGGCCAGCCCUUAAUGUAUGGCUUUAUGUGGAAUACCUACUGGGAGAAAUGCAUCAGAAUACUAAUGGUGAUUAUCUUUGGGUGGUGGGAUUAUAGGUGAUAUUUUCUUGUUUAUAUUUCUAUAACUUAAAACUGCUCUACAAUGACUCAUAAUUUUACAGUCAGAAAACAAUUAUAUACAUGUAUAUAUGAAAAGUGCUAGGGACUUCCUUUUGUGGGGCCACAACUGGGCUUGAGGAGUCAUUUGAGCUGGGUUCUGCACAGGUGGGAGGCUUGGCCCUGGUCCUUGCUGUGGGACCUUGGAGACUCACUACUUUCCCUCCCUGGCCUCUGAUGGCCUGGUCAGACAAGAUGCUCUCUAGGAUCCUUUGCAUCUCAAUAAUUAAAAUACUCACCUUCGUCUCACCCAUCCUUGCUCCACAUCCAGCUUCCAGUGGCUUCUCUGUUCCUAGAGAACUCCUUAUUCAGGCUUUGAGGUUGAGACCCCCCUCCCUCACCAGGUUUUCUUCCCCUAGACCUGCCCUGGGAGUCCCAGCCUCCUGGGAUUUGCCUACAUCACAAUCUGCACUUCUCAGAACCCUGCCCUUCCUUGAAGAACAAAGCCUGGCCAAAUCCUGUGCAGCGUGCUGGCCUGAAGUAACCCCUGCUUCCCUCUAAUUUGUGCAUAACAACAGCUACCAUUUAGUGACUGUUAACUUCAGGCCACAAAGCAAAAGUGCUCUCAGUUAAUCCCAGGUCACCAGCAGCUGCAUAGACUAACAGGUGGAGUUGUGCUGUGUGGUCACCCUAUUUGAUCCUCUCUUGCCCCUGUAGGAUGUAUUGUUAUCCCCAUUUCACUGAUAAGAUAACUGAGGCUCAGAGAGGUCAAGUGAACUCAUCCACGGCCACACAGUGGGUUUGUGGCAGUGCUAGGACCUGAUCUCGAGUCAGUUGGUUCCAAGUCCAGUGUUUUUUCACCCUCAGUGGUGUCGUCCUCAACAACUCCCACAUCCCAGCACUGGAGGGCAGGGAGGGUGUGUUCCAAGUUGAACACAAAGAAAGCACCCAAUAAAUGUCUGGUGGUGGGGGAGCUGAUCACAAUAAGUUCAACCAGGGUUUAUCAUUCAAUCAACAGGUCUUCCCAGAGUGUCUGUGGGCUCUGGGGGCCAGGGCCAGGCCGAUUCUCUUCAUUGCUAAAUUCUGGCACCCAGCAGUGCCAGAAACACAGUACCUGCUAAAUAAAGGACACUGAAUUCAUGAUUGUUCAUUCAAAUAAUAAAACAAUUAAGCAAAUAAUAUGAGCUAACAUCUGUGGAGUGCCUACCACAAGCCAGCUCUCAGGAAGUCUCCAGGAGAGUUGAGGAGAAAUAUAACACUGAUGACAAGGACUGCAGCGUGGGGUUUUACAUCAAAAAAGUGUCUAUGUAAAGGCUGUGAAAACACCAAAGAAAGAUGAUCAGCAGCAAACCCAAACCUUCCUGCGUGUCUGAGGCCAUGUCAGCAGCUGUCACAAUCACGGUUUGAAUACACAGACUGCCGAAGCACACAAACCUGGAUUUUCCAUCUGCAUCCAUGGUUCUGCCUGUUCAGACUGCAUCUGGAUACUUCUGUUGCCUCUCCAGAGUGGAUAACCAGAAUGCUGAGGGCUAUAAAACAAAGAGUUGUGGAAACUGGUGAUAUUUAGCUUGGAGAAGAAAAAGGAGGGUUGUCUUUAACAGGCGAUGGGCUGCCAGUGGGCAAGAGCCCUGGCUACCCACUGAGGAAGCCCGCUCUAGCUGGCUGGGCUGUCUGGAGAUGGACCAGAGAAGCAGGGAGCCUGGUGGGCUGCCUCUGGGACCUAAAGAGCCCUUAUUCUCUCCAGCAUAGACUCUACACACUUGCUCACACAACAAACGUUUAUUAACUGUCAUCCACGGCCUAUUCCAGGCUAGGGAAAUCAGGAUGAAUAAAACAGGCUUGCAACCUUAGAAAACGCCAGCCCUCUAGGGGACAGAGUCAGGAAAGCCUCAUCCUGUGGCCUUAGACUCCUUAUUGUACAUCCCACAGGGUCCUGUCUCAGCCACUGCUAAAGGCCAUUUUAUUCCUUGUAUUCUGAAGCGGCCAGGCAUACGGCAGAUAAUCAACAAACACAGGCAUCCCUGAAGAGGGGAUCCUGGGACGGAAACUCCAGCGCCCUAUGGGGCUGAGUCCCAUGCAUGGUCAUUUGCAUUUGUCCUUCUGUCCCCUCAGAUGUCCUCAGGUCCAGACAAGCCUUGACCGUGGUGUCUUCCAGCCCCUGUUGCCACGACCAGUGGUUGAUCUUCCCUGGCUGUAGUGCCAUGUCAAAGGAUGUCCUCCACUUCUAAACUGCAUACCAGUCUUUAUCUUCCAUUCCCUCCCCGGCUCCUCAGUCUGCAGUCACAGCUGUGGUUCAGCAACCAGUGUGGCACUCUUGUGUGCUAUUCCAAAGAUGUCCACGUGGAGUAGAGCUCAUUCUGUUGCCCUGUCCAUUCACCACACCAUUCAGUGCUGGAAUUGACAUACAUACACUUUUAUUUUUUAUUGUGAAACAAUAAUUAUGCAGAAAAAUGCACAAAACAUAUGUUCAGUUUUAAGUAUAAAAUAUAAAGCAAAUAUUUGUAUAACCACCACCAGGUCAAGAGAUAAAACAAUGUCAAUCACCCUCAAAGACCCCUGUGUGCCCGUCCUAAUCACACUCCCAACCCUCCCCUGUGGUCAUAAUGAAAUCGACUUUUGUGACAAUAAUUUCUGUGCUUUUUAUAGUUUUACCUCCCCUGCAUGUAUGCUUAAACAAUACCGUCCAGUUUUGCUAGUUGUUAAACUUUUCACAAAAGAAAUUAUACUGUACAUAAUCUUUUGUGUUUCAUUUAACAUUCUGUUGAUGAGAGCCAUCCACUAUUAGAGUAUUAUCCAACAUUACAGUAUUACAAGUCACUAUAGUUCAUUCAUUUCCACUGUAGGAAUGUUGCACAAUUUAUUUGUAUUCUUUGGUGUUGAUGGGCACUUGGACUCUUCCUGGUGCUGUGUGGAUAUUCUGGUGCACAUGGGUAAGAGUUUGGUUAGAGAAGAUUCUGAGGAGUCGGGCUGCUGGGUUAUAGGGCAUAUGUACUUUCCUCUUUACUAGAUCACUUAUGUACUUUUUAAUUCUGAAAAUGUUUCUCAGGGAAACAGUGCUUUAACACCCUAGCAUUGUUUGGGGUAGAGGAAAUGAGGUAUGCCUGCCCUUGCAGUUUGACCGGCCCGCCUUCUGUCCUCAGAACCUCGUCCCCUCCAGCCCAGACACCUUGUUUCCUCUGGCACCCAGAGGCUGGAGCCCCUUGGCAGCAGGCUCCUCUCUGGUCUCCCCGCCUCAGUGAUGCAGUUGGGCGGAGGUGGAAGCAGGCUGAGAAUGAGGAAGUGGAAACCAAAUAUGAGGGCCACAGAGAAGUCCGGUGCACAAACCUCAAUGUUUCAGCAGCACACUCGCUGGGAGAAGAACGUGCAAGCUGCCUGUGGAGCACGCCCAGCAGGCACAAAGCCCACUGGUGCCAAGGCGUGCUACUGGACAACCCACCACUUUGCAGUGGGUUCCUGUACAUAAGUCACUCCGUGCCAUCCUCACUCCAUCUUGUGAGGUAGGUGUUAUUAUCCCCAUGUCACAGAUGAAGACACUGAGGCACAGAGACAUUGAGUGACUGGCAAUAUAGUACAACAGUCAAUAGUGUGAGCUCUGGACCUGUUUAAAUUGGGUUUAGGGGCCAGCUCUGUGGCCUAGUGGUUAAGUUUGGUGUGUUCUGCUUUGGCGGCCCAGGUUCACGGGUUCAGAUCCCACAGGCGGACCACUCGUCGGUGGCCAUGCUGUGGUGGUGACCCACAUACAAAGUAGAGGAGGAUUGGCAACAGAUGUUAGCUCAGGGUGAAUCUUCCUCAGCAAAUUAAAUAAGUAAGUAAGUAAAUAAAUAAAUAGGAUUUAAAUUGUGGCUUUCCCAACUUACUGUGUAACCUUGGGCCAGUUACCUGACUUCAUUUAGCCUUAGUUUCUCAUCUGUAAAAUGGGGCUAAGUGACUCACAGCGUCGUUGAGAGAGUUAAAAGAGAUAAUGUGUAGAAGCAGCUUAGCAGAGUGCCUGGCACAAAGCAGGAAUGAGCAGAACUAUGAAAUGGAGCUAUGGAGUUCCAAGGUAGACAGUCAAGACAUAGGGGGACAGGCAACUCAUCUUGGCAAGCUGGGACCAGGCCACUAAGCUGAGGGAGCUGAUUCAGCGCUGUGUGAGGACUCAGUCAGUGGAGUGCUGCCCCAGUAGACUAUGAAACAUGGGCAUCCGGGCAGUCCUGCCCCCCGGCCCCUAUGCCCAGAGCUCUCUACCGAUCUGUGGCUGCUUCAAAGGGCAGUGGUUUCUGACAGGGAGCAGCUGGAUCCCUGCACAUGUGGAAGCUUCAGCCCAGCUUCAGCGCUCGCCUCCGGAGACCGCAUUGGCAGGCGGCAGCAGUGGCAGCCAAUGGGCAGCGAAGCCUGUUGCUAAGGUCACUGGUGAACCUUAUUUGGCGACAUCAGGCUGACCCUGCAUUCACCUCUGAGAACCCUGGGAAACGCCAACCACAGAUGUGAAAUGAACGUCUCAAAACCACAACUGCAUUUCCUUUGAGAAAAGAUUUGGCGCUCCUCUCCAGCCUGCCUCUCUAGGGCUGGAUGCCUUUUGUACAAUAGCUUGCAACCUCAGGAGAGAAGAGCCUGGGUGGGGAGGCUGCUGCAAACCCAUCCUGGGCAGGCCCGGGCAGGGAGAGGGCAGGGUCUACUGCACAGGUGGCCUCAGGACCCAGCAAGGACCUCAAGGCUUCUGUUCUCACCCUGGCAGCUGCCGACCCCUGCCCAGACCUCCCCACACACACCCUGAAGUAUUCCUGGCCUCACUUCCUGCAGCCUUGGGAAGUGGCUGGUAUGAGGAAGACCCGCGGCACGCAGGGAGGAAGUGGGCCAGCCGGGCCCUCACCAUCUGCAGCGGCCACACUGCUUCGGUGCAGCCUACAGCUCAAACGGAAAAGCAGAUCCACUCAAAGGCCUCAAAUGGUCUGAGGAAAAGGCACGUCCAGCUCAGUGGAGUGAGAUACUGGAGUGGGAAGAGGUCUAUCUUUGCUGAUGUGAGUAAGCCUCCUGCAGAGGAAGUAUUGCAGCAUGCUGUUGUAAUGUGUUUCUUCUCUGGCAGUGUCUGUUGAAAGUUGGUUGCAUCAGUUUGUAAUGGAAACAAGGUGGGCCCUAACCCCGCCCCAAGGAAGUGGCUCACUCAGCACAGCUGCUGCACGGCCAUUUAUAGAGAGAUGGCAGCUGGACUUCCCAGGGACUGCUACCCAGGCCAGAGGCACUGUUGAGGCGCUGAUGCCCUGUAUAUUGGGGGGUAUAUGUCCCAUUCAGGGUGUCUGUUUGUGGGUAACAGCCAACUCCGGUUUCCAGAUGAUGCCCAAACUCCCUGUCCUCUGGGGCCAGAUUAGGAACUUGCAACAUCUUGCUGAGGACCGCAGCGGGCUUGGCUCAAGUGCUCGAGCUGAGAAUUUUCCUUCCUCUCUAUGUGGUUAGUGGCAGCCACACUAGUUAGCAAUGGCCUACCUCCAGCAUACUCUGGUCAAACUACAGGCAGCUCAGACAGGACAAGAAAGGACUUGGGCCUAAAUACUACACAGGUGUUCUGCCCACCUGGGCCCCAUCUACACUCCCAGAAGUGCAUGGACCGUGAACCUUCUGCUGUGGGAGGAGCUGUGCAGAGAGGCCUCAGAAGCUUCCCCCAGCCCUCCAGGGCCCUCCACUAUCAAGCCAUGGGCUGGCUUUUCUGGCAGUGUCCCUGCAUGUCUGCCUCCCAGCGUUGCUUCUACAGAGCAAGAGGGAACAGGAAGGGACCUGGGGCCACUUGCACCUCCCCUUGGUGGGACGCUGAGGGGCUUCGCUGGGCUCACUGGGCCAAGGGACAAGAGUGGCGUGGGCUGGAAGAGGACAAGCUAAACUGAUAAAGGCUACAUUACUCAAGUCUAGCGACAUUAAAGACAAACAGACCUGUCUCCAACUGCCCAGACCCCACUCCCUAAAUUAAGAAAAAAAAAAUCCCUGGAGGUAAAA
ensembl:lncRNA